rnacentral:ncRNA from 1 species
AUUUUACGGUGCGGAUAAUCAAUUAUUCGCUUAAAAGGGAAACUUGUGAAAAACAAGUGCUGUCCCGCAACUGUGAUGCUGAGUUUCAUUGCGUAUGCCACUGUCUAGACGAUGGGAAGGUGUAAUGAAAUGUUGACGCGAAGCCAGGAGACCUGCCGUAAAAUC